rnacentral:rRNA from 1 species
GACGAACGCUGGCGGCGUGCUUAACACAUGCAAGUCGAACGGUGAACCACUUCGGUGGGGAUCAGUGGCGAACGGGUGAGUAACACGUGGGCAACCUGCCCCUAGCUCUGGGAUAACCUCGGGAAACCGAGGCUAAUACCGGAUAUGACUCCGAGCGGCAUCGCUUGGAGUGGAAAGUUUUUCGGCUAGGGAUGGGCCCGCGGCCUAUCAGCUUGUUGGUGGGGUAAUGGCCUACCAAGGCGACGACGGGUAGCCGGCCUGAGAGGGCGACCGGCCACACUGGGACUGAGACACGGCCCAGACUCCUACGGGAGGCAGCAGUGGGGAAUAUUGCGCAAUGGGCGAAAGCCUGACGCAGCGACGCCGCGUGAGGGACGAAGGCCUUCGG